rnacentral:rRNA from 1 species
UACAGAGGUCUCGAGCGUUAGGCGGAAUCACUGGGCUUAAAGCGUGUGUAGGCGGAUUGGUAAGUACCUUGUGAAAUCCCACGGCUCAACCGUGGAAACUGCUCGGUAUACUGCCUGUCUUGUGCAACCUAGGGGCGAGCGGAACAGAUGGUGGAGCGGUGAAAUGCGUAGAUAAUCAUCUGGAACGCCAAUGGUGAAAACAGCUCGCUGGGGGUUUG